rnacentral:rRNA from 1 species
UACGAACUGUGCAAACGUUAUUCGGAAUCACUGGGCUUAAAGGGUGCGUAGGCGGCUUAUUAAGCAGGGUGUGAAAGCCCCCGGCUCAACCGGGGAAUAGCGCUCUGAACUGAUGAGCUGGAGCGAGGCAGGGGUGCGCGGAACUUCCAGUGGAGCGGUGAAAUGUGUUGAUAUUGGAAGGAACACCGGAGGCGAAAGCGGCGCACUGGGUCUUGUCUGACGCUGAGGCACGAAAGCCAGGGGAGCAAAC